rnacentral:rRNA from 1 species
ACGGGAGGCAGCAGUGGGGAAUAUUGCACAAUGGGGGAAACCCUGAUGCAGCGACGCCGCGUGAGGGAAGAAGGUUUUCGGAUUGUAAACCUCUGUCUUUGGUGACGAUAAUGACGGUAACCAAAGAGGAAGCUACGGCUAACUACGUGCCAGCAGCCGCGGUAAUACGUAGGUAGCGAGCGUUGUCCGGAAUUACUGGGUGUAAAGGGAGCGUAGGCGGGAAGACAAGUUGAAUGUUUAAACUACCGGCUUAACCGGUAAUCGCGUUCAAAACUGUUUUUCUUGAGUGAAGUAGAGGCAGGCGGAAUUCCUAGUGUAGCGGUGAAAUGCGUAGAUAUUAGGAGGAACACCAGUGGCGAAGGCGGCCUGCUGGGCUUUAACUGACGCUGAGGCUCGAAAGCGUGGGUAGCAAACAGGAUUAGAUACCCUGGUA